rnacentral:rRNA from 1 species
GAUGAACGCUAGCUACAGGCUUAACACAUGCAAGUCGAGGGGCAACAUGGAGUCAGCUUGCUGACUUUGAUGGCGACCGGCGCACGGGUGAGUAACGCGUAUCCAACCUUCCCCCUACCAGAGGAUAGCCCGGCGAAAGUCGGAUUAAUACUCUAUGUUUUCCUUGUUGGGCAUCUUAUGAGGAACAAAGACUCGUCGGUAUGGGAUGGGGAUGCGUCUGAUUAGCUUGUUGGCGGGGUAACGGCCCACCAAGGCUACGAUCAGUAGGGGUUCUGAGAGGAAGGUCCCCCACACUGGUACUGAGACACGGACCAGACUCC